rnacentral:rRNA from 1 species
UGCGAGAAAUCGUGAUAAGGGAACCCCGAGUGCCCGUAAAUUCGGGCUGUCCGCCAGUGUAAAUAACUGGUGAAGAAAGGGCCGGGCAAGACCGGUGCCAGCCGCCGCGGUAAUACCGGCGGCUCGAGUGGUGGCCACUAUUACUGGGCUUAAAGCGUCCGUAGCUGGAUUGUUAAGUCUCUUGGGAAAUCCACCGGCUCAACCGAUGGGCGUUCAGGAGAAACUGGCAAUCUAGGGACCGGGAGAGGUGAGAGGUACUCCAGGGGUAGGAGUGAAAUCCUGUAAUCCUUGGGGGACCACCUGUGGCGAAGGCGUCUCACUAGAACGGCUCCGACAGUGAGGGACGAAAGCUGGGGGAGCAAACCGGAUUAGAUACCCGGGUAGUCCCAGCUGUAAACGAUGCGCGUUAGGUGUAUCGGUGACCACGAGUCAUCGAGGUGCCGAAGGGAAACCGUGAAACGU